rnacentral:rRNA from 1 species
CAGUAGCCGCGGUAACACGUAGGGUGCAAGCGUUAAUCGGAAUUACUGGGCGUAAAGCGUGCGCAGGCGGUUCGCUAAGACAGAUGUGGAAUCCCCGGGCUUAACCUGGGAACUGCAUUUGUGACUGGCGGGCUAGAGUAUGGCAGAGGGGGGUAGAAUUCCACGUGUAGCAGUGAAAUGCGUAGAGAUGUAGAGGAAUACCGAUGGCGAAGGCAGCCCCCUGGGCCAAUACUGACGCUCAUGCACGAAAGCGUGGGGAGCAAACAGGAUUAGAUACCCGUGUAGUCCCUGUCUCUUAUAC